UAAGGUCCGUCACCAUCAACGUCCUAUAUGUAUAUAGAAAUAUCCCACUAUCACUUGGGUAUGGUAUCUACGUUCCUCAACUGAUUCGAUAAACAAGUGCAUUAGUGUUUGAUUAAUUUUGGUUUGUAAUUUCGCAUUGACUCAAAACAAUUUACCAACUUAAAGUGUAUAUAGAUGGACGGGUGGCAACACCUUAUAAGCAAAUUUGCCCUUUAACGUGAACCAAUGUGUUCAAAAGUGACUGUCGCAUUAAAUUAUCCUUAUUCUCAUUUUGCAUGUAAUGUAAAUAAAUAUACUCUUAUUUUGCGUAUAUAUUGAACACACCCCAAACCCUGUUUGGAGCCUCUUUUUACUGUGCCUUAAUUGGAACCUAACUUGAUUGGACUUUAAACCACCAACUCGUGCGGAAUUCAGUUUGGACACGACAGUCUAGCAGGAUUGACAUUUUCAUACUUCUCUGCAUAUCAGUUUAUAUUGAUCAACAAACCUUUUCCGAUUCUAUGCAUGGCGUAUACAUGAUACAGCAUAUGAUCCAGCGUUUCUGAGGUCCUCUCCCUGUGGUCUACUACAGUUACCCUCAUAUAACCAGUGUAUGCAGGAUGUGAAGAGUAAUCGUAUAGUACAAGGAAAACCAAACUCCAGGAGUGGGUACAUCCAUCAAACCCACAGAUGUCUACGCUAAUGAGCCAAGAUCAUAGACACUUGUGGAAUUAGGAUUAUGUUCUUUAUGAGAUAUUGUACAUAAUAAACUCUUUAUAUCUACA